UUAACUGAAUGGCCGUUUGUGCAGUUAUCUGUCAACAGUCAACGUUAUCUAGUUAAAAUUAGCAUGUUAACUUGGUUUGCCAACUUUUAAAUUAAAACAAACGUUACCUUGCUAAGGAGAAAGGUAGACGGGUAUAAACAAAUGAACAUUACCUUUUAAAUACUGUGGUUGAUCUCUGAUCCAUGCCAGGAUACGUGUCACUACUUUGUGUUGGUCUACACGUCGUCAGGAGAGGACGGUAACCAUUCAUAAUUUAACUAAAAUGUUAUUUGUGUAAAUAUGUUCAUCUUUGUGGUGCGAAGUUUGUUACAAUCUAAGAUGGAUAAUGAUAAUUAAUGUAAUUAACGGUUAUUAUAACACCUGUAAAGCGGAGUGAUACAUGUAUAGUUAAAAGUCGCAGUGCUGUUAUACUCCAAUCAAAUUACUUCGUCGUAUUAUAAAUACUUGUGAACAUUUUCAGUUCUUUCCGCCCGUUUACUUGCGUUUGCUUUUAGUAACAUUCAAGAUGCUUUUGACGGUGCGUUAUCUGCUGCGUUUGUAUUACUUUUUCAUUUAAACUGUUAUUGAGCCAUAUCAAUAGAUUGCACAGUCGCAGCCCUGAGUUCUGGUUGCUCCGUGGUAUUGACGGAUGCACUGAGGAAUCCAGAGUGUACAAUUCCUUCUAUCAUCAUUUAAAGAGAAACCACAUUCAACACUUACUUGAAGGCACCCGAACAGAUGAACAGCCAUCGGAGGAAAACCAAGUACCACCGGAACAAGUAAGUAGCUAGCAAGCAUUUGUUUUUGUUUUCUGGAUUUACAAAAAUAAUUUAAUUAACCGACGAUACACGGACCAAAGUCAUACUAUCCAUAGGCUAUACGAUCAUUUUUAGCUAUAGUGACUCUUAUGGCUAAAGCUGGGUUAAUGUGAAAAUAAUCAAUGAUAAAUAGGAACAAAACACUUAAAUAGCUCUUGUUGAAACUAAAUACAAUUUCAAAUAAUAAUAUUUUUUCUUUGAUGUGUGGUACACAGGACAACAUUCAACCCGAUCAGCUCCUAGCGAACUCUUGCAUCAGUGAUCAGCAACUCCAUACAUCUGACUCAGAUGAAGGGCAAAGGGGCAUUGACAAACAUGAAGCUGUCACAGUGCAACAGGAUCUGACAACACAUGCCACUGCUUUUGUGAUAAAUGCCAGAGCCAAGCAUCGUCUCACACAGAAAGGUGUGAAUGACAUUGUCGCUGGGGUACAGCAGUAUCAAUCAUCACUAUUGGACAACCUCAGGAGGCAGAUGGAGGCAGUGCUAAAGAAGCAUUCAGGAAGCACAUCAGGUCAACUUGGAAAAUGGUGCAAUGGAUAUAUUUGACAAUAUCAUUGACCCUUUUGCUGGCGUUGCAACACCAUUUAGACAGGACAGUGUUAUUAAGAAGCAGUUUAGGUGUUUGGACGCAGAGGAAAUUCAAAUCGCUCGAACCACAGGCAAGAUGAAAUGUGGAGGAUCAAAAUACUUUUUCUUCAAAGACAAAUUAUUUUAUUAUGUACCAUUUAGUCAAAAGUCUAGAACAGUUCUUAUCACACCCAAGGAUUUUGUCUGUGGUUGAAAAGGGACCUCGGAUGUGCAGGGAAAGUUGUUUUCAUGACAUUGUUGAUGGUGCUCUUCUAAAAUCACAUCCCUUAUUUUUCAGAGAAACCAAAGGCAUUGCAGAUUGUUCUGUACACGGAUGAAAUGGAGAUCUGUAAUCCACUAGGAUCCUUUGCAUCCCCCAAAAAACAAGUUGUUAAUGGUGUACUACACCCUAGGAAAUAUAAAUCCAAAAUACAGGUCUAAACUGGCUGCUAUCAGGCUACUUUGGCAUGGCUAGAUCAGCAGACCUCCCUCAAUCUGGUGGAGAUAGAAUCAGGAAAGACAUGGAUGCAUUGUACAGUGGGGUUAAAAUGCUAACUAUUAACGGAGAAAACGAUAUAUGGUGCGAUGUUCUCUCUGUGGAGACACCCUGACACAACAUGAACUAGCAGGGUUCAAAGAGGGUGUGGGGCUUUGCCUACAGUAAGUGCAGACACUGAGUGUUAUUUUGAGGACAUGCAGUCACUCUUCAAUGAGGAUACAUAUACUAAAAGGACAUUGGAGAAGCAUGUCAGACAGUGUGAUGAAAUAGAAAAGGUACAGACUGACUUGCUUCGCAACAACCUGAGAACAACAAAUGGGAUCAAUAGAAGGAGCAACUUAGUUGAAUUCCCAGCCUUUGAUAUCAUACAACAAACUUCGCAAGACAUUAUGCAUGUAAUUCUGGAGGGCGUAGCCCCAUUGGAAAUCAAAUGUGUUUUGAAUCAUCUUGUUGUGUCAGGACAGAUUGAUGUGAAUUCUGCUAUUCUUGGUUUCCCUUAUUCCCCUCUAGAUGUUAGAGAUCGGCCAUCCCCAAUUUCUGUUAGUACAUUCAUGUCAAGUGAUGGUAAACUAAAACAGUCAUCUGGGCAAAUGCUUGUCCUGCUAAGGAUAUUGCCAUUUGUUUUGGAGACUUUGGAAGUCAAUGCAUAUAUACACAAGACUGAUAAUUGAGCUAAUAGAGAUUGUACAGAUGGUAUUUGCACAUGUUCUUUCCAUUGCGACUGUCUACAUUAAAGUUUCAUUUGAAACAUUGGACGGAGCUUUAUCUAGACCGCAUCGUUACACCUAAACAGCAUUACGUGAUACAUUUGCCAUCACAGAUAAAGUCAUUGGGUCCAAUGUGGUUCGAGUCUAAACAAUUUUCUCUAAACGAUGGGCUUCCAAGCUCAAUUAAAAAAAAUAUUUGCAAGUAUUCGAUCGUUGAGAACCAAAUAUAUGAAAGCUGCCAAAAUGUUGACCGUUCAAUGCACCCAAUUUUUUCAAAUGAAAGGGAGAUGGGACCUGUAUCAGAGGUUGAAGAAAUACAAUAUUUAUGUGGAAAAUUGAGGGACUUCCUAGGUUUCAAUGAAGUAUCAGUCAAAUGGCUUGUAAUAAAUACAUAAUUCAGAAGUCCAUGAUCUUUGCCAAAAUACUGAAUGGUAAUAUGCCAGAAUUUGGACUGGUCAAAAACAUAUUUUUUGGUUGAUUCUAGGCUUUAUUGUUCUAUACGCUUUGAUAGAAACGUGGUGGCUUAUCAAGUUGAGGUCCCACACCUUGCACAGGCCACUGAGUUAGUGGAGGUCCCACACCUUGCACAGGCCACUGA